GUGUCCAGGGAACCGCGAAGACGCCGUCGUCAACUGGCCGAGCUGAGAAACAGAAGCGCGGGUCACAGAGACCUCGAACUGCUGGAAUCCUUCGCCUCCGGCGCGCAACCUUCGCCCGGAAUCGCUGCCUUCUCCACCAGCGGGAUGCUUACCUCUCCCGCCCUCUCGGGCCAGGAGGGCCCGGGAAGAUGGGAGGGUAGCUCCUGAGCGGGAACCGCUUCGUCUUCCACCGGACAUAUUGCCUAGAGGUUGCUGUGACUUAGAUCUUGAUCCAGAGAUGGAGAAAUCAGGCUCAUCUUCUACCAUCUCUGAGCAGCAGCUGCAGAGGCAAGAGGGAUGGAGUAACACCAAAACAGACUUGGCUGAGCAGAGGCUCAUUUCAUCUGAGACAUGGCUUCAACUGCAUGGGCUUAAGAGCAACAAAUUGACCUUGAAACAGAUUUUGUCACAGAUUGGAUUCCCACAUUGUGAAGAUUAUGUGGCAUCUCUGGGGAGACUUGUGGCUUCUCGGUAUGCUGAUGGUCUGUUUCCACAGCUCUACAGAGCAGAAGAUGGCAGAGUAUACAAUCUGACAGCUAAAUCAGAACUGAUUUAUCAGUUCGUGGAACAUUUAACACAAGCUGUGGAGAGCUACAAGCAGCGAAUGGACUGGCUCACCAGCAAAAGCCGGCAGAUUUUUGGUGUCAUCUUGGAACAGUGUGUCUCCAUAGUGCUGGAUUUUGGCGGCAUUCUGGAGGGAGAGCUUGAUCUGUGCCAAGAGGCGCUAACAAUGGUCCUCCAGGAGCAGGUGGCUCACAUAACCAACUUCAAUAUCAUACGGGUUUCUCAAGAGCCUGUGAAAUGGCAGGAAAGUGCUACUCCUGUGACCAAACAGUCCAUAGCUGCUGCUGUCAGUUGGGUUGAGAAACUGACUAUUGAGCUGACUGUGAGCAACGCUGGCCGCAUGGAUGCACUUCUGGAAGCUGGGAAAGACAAGACUAUUGAAUCCAUUUACUACUGUGUAGUGGGGGAUGUUCCUGAAGAAUCCAAGGAGCUUCUCCUCCAGAGUGCCUUGGAGAUCCCGUACCCGGUCCACACAGUAUCCUUCAAUGCCAGAGGGGAAGGCACCAUAGCUUUCCUGAAGGACCUGAGUGCCAAGACCCACGGCAGAUUCCACGCAUUUGCCGAGAGAACAGAGUGUGUAGAAUUUCCUGCAUUCUCCACAAAGGAUGGUGAUGAUGUGAUGACUUGGAAUUCAAGGAAACUGAAAGGAAAACUCCCUCCAGGAGCCGGUGUCAGAGAGGACGUGUUUCUCGUUUGGCGAGAGAUGGAGGAAGCCUGCAGCACGCUGGCCCAGAUCCAGAGGCUGGUGGCCAAGCCUCCCAAGCCCGACAUGGCCACAGUGAACUGCGAGUCAGAAACAACCUCUGUUGAGAUUGCAUCGAAUCCAGAAGACACCUGGGACUCUAAGAUGUGGCUGCGGAAAUAUGGCUUGAAGGCCCAGAAGCUGUCCCUGUAUGAUGUCCUUGCUGACUGCUCUUUUCGCCACGCUGAUGGGGUUGUAGAUAUAAAAGCCAAACCGGAGAACGAGUCGGUACAAACCAGUGCGGAGACCAACAAGAAGACAGUCCAUGCAAAAUACUGCAGCAGGUUUGUCCAUGCUCCCUGGAAGGAUGGGAGCUUGGUCCAUGUCAACAUUACCAAAGAGAAAUGCAAGUGGUACAGUGAGAGAGUCCACACAGCCCUGGCCCGGAUCCGAAGGAGGAUUAAAUGGCUACAGGAUGGGAGUCAAAGCCUCUUUGGAAAAUUGCAAAAUGAUUGCAUCUACAUUCUCAUUGACACGUCUCACUCAAUGAAGAGCAAACUGGAUUUGGUGAAGGACAAGAUCAUUCAGUUCAUACAGGAACAGCUGAAAUAUAAAAGUAGGUUUAAUUUCGUGAAGUUUGAUGGUCAAGCAGUUGCUUGGCGGGAACAACUUGCUGAAGUCAAUGAAGAGAAUUUGGAACAGGCUCAGUCCUGGAUUAGAGACAUGAAGAUUGGAAGUUCCACAAACACCCUGAGUGCCCUGAAAACUGCUUUUGCUGAUAAAGAAACACAGGCCAUCUACCUUCUGACUGAUGGGAGACCUGAUCAGCCACCUGAAAUGGUUAUAGACCAGGUCAAAAGUUUUCAGGAAAUUCCUAUUUAUACCAUCUCCUUCAAUUACAAUGAUGAGAUUGCAAACAGAUUUUUGAAAGAGGUUGCUGCUUUGACUGGAGGAGAGUUCCAUUUUUAUAAUUUUGGUUGCAAGGAUCCCACUCCUCCAGAAGCUGUUCAGAAUGAAGAUCUGACCCUUUUAGAUGAGGAAAUGGAACAGGGUUACCGUGACCUGGAGAAGAUACAAGACCUUUAUUCCGAGUCCUUGAUCAUGGACUGGUGGUACAAUGCAGGAAAGGAUGGGGACAGCAAGCAUCAAAAAGAAAUCUGUUCUAUGGUUUCAACCCCGGAAAAAUGUGCAAAGCCUCAAUCUGAUGUCAGUUCAACACAAACUUCAUCCCUGAAUAUGUUGAAGGGACCAUGGAGCCUUUCAGAUCAAAAGGUUCAGAAAAAGAAAGUCCUCCAUGCAGAAUCAACCAAAACCAGCCUGCUCAGAAGCCAGAUGUCCUCCCUCAGGAGCUCAGCUUGCAGUGAAAGGAAGGAUGGCCUCUCCAAUGCCAGCAGCCGGAGGACUGCUCUAAGUGACAAAGACAUGAGCAUUCUGCUGGCUGAGGAGUGUCUGGAUGACCAGUCAUCAGAAAAGGUGACCCAAGAAGGAAGCCAGGAUUAUGACCACAAUUCUUCAGAUGUGUCUUCAGAAAACUGGCUCAAGACCUAUGGCUUGGUUGCCAAGAAACUCACCCUCAUGGAUGCCUUGUCAAUGGCGGCGGUGCCCCACAGCUCCACCUAUGUUCCGGUCCUGGACAAGCACGUCAUGUCUAAGGUCUUUGAUGAGGUGUUCCCUGUGGCACAUGUGUGCAAUGACACAAAUAAGAUGACAUUAAUUAACCCCCAAGGAGUCAAGCUCAAUAUCUACAAGCAAAAAGUGGAACAGGCAAUUCAAUCCUAUGAAAAGCGCUUGAAUAAAAUUGUUUGGCGAGCAUUAUCUCAAGAGGAAAAAGAAAAGUUAGAUGCAAACAAACCAAUACGGUACUUGGAAAACAAAACAGUUUUAAACCAGGCUUUACAACGGUUGAAUUGGCCCAUUUCAUUGAAAGAGCUGUCGAUGCUGGAAAAUGAAAUCCUCGCUGGGAAAAUGUACAUCCAGCAGGCCAUGGAACUCCAGGAGGCUGCCAAGAAGAAUUAUGCAAACAAGGCCCCGGGAGAGCAACAGAAAUUGCAAGGAAAUCCAACAAAGAAAACCAAAUCAAAAAGACCAGAUCCCCUCAAAGGACAGAAGGUUAUUGCAAGAUGUGAUGAAAAUGGUUUUUAUUUUCCAGGGGUUGUGAAGAAGUGUGUGAGCCCCACCCAAGCACUGGUGGGCUUCAGGUACGGAGACACCAAGGUUGUGUCCACCUCCUUCAUCAUGCCUGUGGGGGGCGCCAUGCCCUGCCCACUGCUCCAGGUUGGAGAUUACGUGUUUGCCAAAAUCAGUGAUACCCAAAGGAUUUGACUUCUACGUCCCGGCCAUUGUCAUAGCACUUCCCAAUAAGCAUGUGGAUGCAGAAAAAUUCUACACGGUUUUGAAGUGUAACAACCGGAGAGAAUUUUGCCCUCGGAGUGCACUUAUUAAGAUCAGCCAAAACAAGUAUGCGCUCUCCUGCUCUCAUAUAAAGUCACCCCCAAUUCCUGAGGAUCCCAAAGUAGAGGAUAUGGAGAUGAGGAGCUCUGCUUUCCUCCACCGGCCACUGAAAGAAGCAGACACGCAGGAUUCCAGAGAGCCAAGACAAGAGAAGCCCAGGAGGAAAAAGAGCCCCGCCAAGCAGCCACCUCUCCAGCAGGCGGCACCCUCGGACUCGGGCCGCUCCUCCCACAGCACCAGGUCCCCUGGGUCCUGCCCUGGGACAUAGCCCAAGCCCAAGGUUUGGUUGGGGAUGAGGGACACAACAUCACUUAUCUUGGAAACACCCUGAAAUCCCUUUCAAGAUUAGCACACCUGACAUCAUCCUCCAGAUUCUGGGCCUCUUUAGGUUCCAGUGCAGCAAAGAUCCUAGCAUCCUUAAGUAAUGCUGACCUUCGCUUCCCCAGACGCCCCACCUCCACUUCCCCUCGGCCGGGUGUCUAGACUCAGCAGCCAUGCCAUCCUUGCCACGCCUCCACCUCCAGCAGCCCUGCCCUGUACUCUCAAAGCCAUCCACAGCAGCAAAGGACUGACCUGAAGGCCGUCUGGUGGCAGCUAUGUUAAAGAGACCAGCGUCCUCCCAGGCUGCCCAGACCUCAGCCUCAACACUGCAACUGGCUCCUCUGCUGAGGUAAUGCCACCCUCCGUGCCACCCCUGCCUGCCCUGUCUGUAGCAAAGACUCCUGUCGCCUUCAUCCCCACUGCCUCUCCUACCCACUUGACAACAUUGGUUCUGGCUUUUUGGACUGUUCUUUAUCCCGUUUUCCCCUGUACUCACAAAAUUGUAUUCCAUCUUCUGGUAGACGCCCCACCCCCAGAAGUUUUAACCUGAAAGACGAUUGUCACAGGACUUUCAAAUUGUUUAGAAGUCAGCAUAAGUCAGCAUCCAAGCCUGUACUCUUGUUUUAAAUUAAGUAUCACAUCUAAAUUAGAGAUUUCAUCACCCAGUGUUAGGACUGAAAUUCAGACCUGGUAGCGUGUCUAAGGUCUGCAAGACUGAACAUUCCCUACUUUAUUGUUUUCUGACAUUUUCAUUGAGCUUUUCCUAAUUCUUUUUUUCUGUAGUCUGUUGUAGGUAUCUCUAAUUGAGCGCGAAACCAGAAUAAAAACUCUUACAUUGGAAACAUUUCAAAA